CCCCCGGGACGGUCGCGGGCCCCGGCUGUGGCGCGCACCCCGCAGCCCCCCGGAGCCGCCCGUUCACACCCGCCGCUUUUGCACUCCAGGCCGCGACGAGCAGAUGAGGAGACUGAGGCACGGAGCAGUGAGGAGGAAUCAGAGCUGGAAUCCGAACACAGGCUAGUGGGCUGCAGAGCCCCUGCAUCUUCGCUUUAUCAUGAGAUAACAAUAGGGAGGUUCCUUUCCAUUGGGAUUAUUUCUGCUUGAAAGCACAAGACUUUUAGCCACAUCAUUGUCUGGGCUCCACAGGAAGGCAGUGCCACAUGCUGAGGCAUGCUGGGAAAAGACUUUGUUCCAUCCUGUUUUGUUGACAUGCUCUUCAUUUUUAAGCCUGAAACCCAAGCUUCCUGCUAAGAUUUCAAAUCGUGGAGAAAAAACCCAACCAUGAUAAUGGCCACGACUUCCUAAGCCUCCAGUGUGCCCUGUGCUUGGGGCUCCAGAUAUGUCAUUUAACCUCAACCUUCACAAUGACAGGAGCAGCCCCCAGAACACAGCUGGAGAAACUGGAGGUCAGAGUUGCUAAGAUGCCUAAAGGCUGGCCCAGGAUGCAGGUGUGGUGUGGCCCUAGAUGCUGCCUUCUCCGACAGCGGGAGCUGAGAGACAGGGAUGCCCAUGCUCCCUCCUCUCUCGCUCCCUCCAGUGACUCAGGAUAGCCACCCUGCUGUGCUUAAAAAGGCACCUGUCUUCUGGAAGGAGCCCCACCACUGAGGAUCCUCAUCAAUGCCUGUCUCCCCACCAGCUCCUGGGGAUAACCRCCAGAGCAGGUGUGCCCUGCCUCAGGACCAGCACAGCAGGAGUCGGGGCUCCUCCGACCCUCAGCCAGUCCUUGACUACAGCCUCUUUUCCCAGCCCACCCAUCCCUGCAGCCGACUCAUUUCCACCCUAAACCAGCUUUGACCUUACUCUCCCUGGAUCAGUGGUUUUCAGUGGGUGCCGAGUGACACCAGAAUUCACGUUUGUUCCUGUCUUGGAAGGCAAAGCCCUCAUCUGGCUCAGCUCACCUUUCCCACCUUCACUCCUGCCUCUCAGUCUGUCUCUGCCCGACUGUUAAAUAGACUGUUCCUGUCCUGAGCCUGCCUGUCCCCAAGGGAGAAAUGCCCUUUCCUUUUCUUUACAGAUAAGAGCUACCCUCUUUCAAAUCUUACUCAGAUGCCACCUUCCCCAUGAAGCCCUGCCUGUGUACUCAUUCAUUUACUCAACAAACCCUCACUGAGCCUGUAUUACAUGUUAGGCAUUGGACCCGGUGGCCCUUGUGCUUAUGACCCASGGGGCUAUACGAUGAGGUUAGAAGAGAGUGCCUGGCAGAAGCAUUGCAUGGGCAAAGGCCCUGAGGCAGGAAGGAGCAAGUAAGUCUCCACAAAAGGGAAAGAGGCCAGAGUAAUAAGAGAAAAAGAGGAACUGGAGAUGCUGCUGGAGCAGGGAGGAGCAGGCCAUAGGGGCUCUGGGACUUCAUCCCAGGC